UAGGAAAAGCUGCCGACGCAGAUGAAUGG
rnacentral:piRNA from 1 species